GAUGAAGAACGCAGCGAAAUGCGAUAAGUAAUGCGAAUUGCAGAAUUCAGUGAAUCAUCGAAUCUUUGAACGCAACUUGCGCCUUUUGGUAUUCCGAAAGGCAUGCCUGUUUGAGUGUCAUAUAAACCUCACCUCUACUGUUUUUCAUUAGACAUGUGGACUGGUGCUUUGGGCGUCUGCCGUUUACUCUGGCUCGCCUUAAAUGUCUAAGUGGAAUGCGUAAUAAGUCUUCGCAACCCUCCACUCUAAUACAAACUUUUAUAUUCUGACCUCAAAUCAGGUAGGACUACCCGCUGAACUUAAGCAUAUCAAUAAGCGGAGGA
rnacentral:misc_RNA from 1 species